rnacentral:rRNA from 1 species
GUCCACGCUGUAAACGAUGGGCGCUAGGUGUGGGGGGUUUUUAAUCCCUCCGUGCCGCAGCUAACGCAUUAAGCGCCCCGCCUGGGGAGUACGGCCGCAAGGUUAAAACUCAAAGGAAUUGACGGGGCCCGCACAAGCGGUGGAGCAUGUGGUUUAAUUCGACGCAACGCGAAGAACCUUACCUGGGCUUGACAUCUGGGGAAUCUCAUGGAAACAUGGGAGUGCUUAGCAAUAAGAACCCCAAGACAGGUGCUGCAUGGCUGUCGU